rnacentral:rRNA from 1 species
AACGAACGCUGGCGGCAGGCCUAAUACAUGCAAGUCGAGCGCCCUAGCAAUAGGGAGCGGCGCACGGGUGAGUAACACGUGGGAAUCUACCCUUGACUACGGAACAACGUCGGGAAACUGACGCUAAUACCGUAUAAUGACUUCGGUCCAAAGAUUUAUCGGUCAGGGAUGAGCCCGCGUUAGAUUAGGUAGUUGGUGAGGUAAUGGCUCACCAAGCCUACGAUCUAUAGCUGGUCUGAGGGGAUGAUCAGCCACACUGGAACUGAGACACGGUCCAGACUCCUACGGGAGGCAGCAGUAAGGAAUAUUGGACAAUGGGGGCAACCCUGAUCCAGCCAUGCCGCGUGAGUGACGAAGGCCUUCGGGUUGUAAAGCUCUUUCGGAUGUGAAGAUAAUGACAGUAGCAUAAGAAGAAGCUCCGGCUAAACUCGUGCCAGCCGCCGCCGUAA